UUAUCAGGCCAGACCGCUUUAUCAGUGCCAUCUCAUCUCAUCAGAUCUUGGAAGCUAAGCAGGGUUGGGCCUGGUUAAUUCUUGGAUGGGAGACCCCUGGGAACCAGAUGCCAUAGU
rnacentral:rRNA from 1 species